GGGGUUGUAGUUCAGUGUCAGAGCAUCUGCUUUGCAUGCAGAAGGUCUCAGGUUCCCUGGCAUCUCUA